rnacentral:rRNA from 1 species
CAGGCUGCAACUCGCCUGCAUGAAGUCGGAAUUGCUAGUAAUCGCGGAUCAGCAUGCCGCGGUGAAUACGUUCCCGGGCCUUGUACACACCGCCCGUCACACCAUGGGAGUCGGUAACACCCGAAGCCGAUAGUCUAACGAAAGAGGACGUCGUCGAAGGUGGGAUUGAUGACUGGGGUGAAGUCGUAACAAGGUAAC